rnacentral:rRNA from 1 species
UCCCAUGGCAAUACCACCAUGAGGCAACUGAUCUCCUCUGAUCUCAGAAACUAAUACAUAUAGGUGAUAAACAGGCUGAGAGAG